AUGAACGCUGGCGGCGUGCCUAAUCCAUGCCAGUCGAGCGAACAGACGAGGAGCUUGCUCCUCUGACGUUAGCGGCGGACGGGUGAGUAACACGUGGAUAACCUACCUAUAAGACUGGGAUAACUUCGGGAAACCGGAGCUAAUACCGGAUAAUAUAUUGAACCGCCUGGUUCAAUAGUGAAAGACGGUUUUGCUGUCACUUAUAGAUGGAUCCGCGCCGCAUUAGCUAGUUGGUAAGGUAACGGCUUACCAAGGCAACGAUGCGUAGCCGACCUGAGAGGGUGAUCGGCCACACUGGAACUGAGACACGGUCCAGACUCCUACGGGAGGCAGCAGUAGGGAAUCUUCCGCAAUGGGCGAAAGCCUGACGGAGCAACGCCGCGUGAGUGAUGAAGGUCUUCGGAUCGUAAAACUCUGUUAUUAGGGAAGAACAAAUGUGUAAGUAACUAUGCACGUCUUGACGGUACCUAAUCAGAAAGCCACGGCUAACUACGUG
rnacentral:rRNA from 1 species